rnacentral:rRNA from 1 species
ACGCGCCGAACCUUACCAACCCUUGACAUCCCCUGACCGCCGGUGAGAGCCGGUUUCCCCGCAAGGGGCAGGGAGACAGGUGCUGCAUGGCUGUCGUCAGCUCGUGUCGUGAGAUGUUCGGUUAAGUCCGGCAACGAGCGCAACCCACACCCCCCUGUUGCCAGCAGGUCAAGCUGGGCACUCCGGGGGAACUGCCCGUGAUAAGCGGGAGGAAGGUGUGGAUGACGUCAAGUCCUCAUGGCCCUUACGG